rnacentral:tRNA from 1 species
UCCCUGGAGGACUAGUGGUUAGGCCACGGUGCUUUCACUGCCAUGGCCAGGGUUUGAUUCCCUGCCAGAGAA